rfam:Callithrix jacchus chromosome 9, whole genome shotgun sequence
UAGUGUUACAGCUCUUUUUAGAACUUGUCUAGCAAGUUUUCCUGUUUUUACUGAAAACCUUCC